CAACCCUAGGAAUGUGUGCCAUU
rnacentral:miRNA from 1 species